UAAACUAUGCCGACUAGGGAUCGGACGAUGUUAUUCUUUGACGCGUUCGGCACCUUUCGAGAAAUCAAAGUGCUUGGGCUCCAGGGGGAGUAUGGUCGCAAGGCUGAAACUUAAAGAAAUUGACGGAAGGGCACCACCAGGGGUGGAACCUGCGGCUUAAUUUGACUCAACACGGGGAAACUCACCAGGUCCAGACACAGUGAGGAUUGACAGAUUGAGAGCUCUUUCUUGAUUCUGUGGGUGGUGGUGCAUGGCCGUUCUUAGUUGGUGGAGUGAUUUGUCUGCUUAAUUGCGAUAACGAACGAGACCUUAACCUGCUAAAUAGCCCGUACUGCUUUGGCAGUUCGCCGGCUUCUUAGAGGGACUAUCGGCUCAAGCCGAUGGAAGUUUGAGGCAAUAACAGGUCUGUGAUGCCCUUAGAUGUCCUGGGC
rnacentral:rRNA from 1 species